GACGAACGCUGGCGGCGUGCUUAACACAUGCAAGUCGAACGAAGAGCGACGGAAGCUUGCUUCUAUCAAUCUUAGUGGCGAACGGGUGAGUAACGCGUAAUCAACCUGCCCUUCAGAGGGGGACAACAGUUGGAAACGACUGCUAAUACCGCAUACGAUCUAACCUCGGCAUCGAGGAUAGAUGAAAGGUGGCCUCUACAUGUAAGCUAUCACUGAAGGAGGGGAUUGGGUCUGAUUAGCUAGUUGGAGGGGUAACGGCCCACCAAGGCGAUGAUCAGUAGCCGGUCUGAGAGGAUGAACGGCCACAUUGGGACUGAGACACGGCCCAGACUCCUACGGGAGGCAGCAGUGGGGAAUCUUCCGCAAUGGACGAAAGUCUGACGGAGCAACGCCGCGUGAGUGAUGACGGCCUUCGGGUUGUAAAGCUCUGUUAAUCGGGACGAAAGGCCUUCUUGCGAAUAGUGAGAAGGAUUGACGGUACCGGAAUAGAAAGCCACGGCUAACUACGUG
rnacentral:rRNA from 1 species